AAGUUGCGUCUUUAAAAAGGAAAAAGUAAAAUUUACAAAGAGGAAGGUAGAUUGCUCUCAUCAACACCCACACAGAGAAGACUCUCCAACCUUCUUCACCCUUCUUCUUCUUCUUCCUCAACGCGGCUCUUUGCGCUCAAGACCAAGCAGAUCGACAUUUUAUGGAUAAAGGAGUACCUGGAAAGGAGGCCCUGAAUGAAGUGACCCGUGAGUCGCUUAUUGCCAUUUCUUACUCGGAACCAGAGAAGAAUCUCACUUCUGAUAAGUGGAAUGGUGAAACUCUGGUUAAAGCAAUAGAUGCUGAUGGAGAAGACAAGUUUAGGUCUGAACUGAUCUCUAUUUCCUAUACGCCGUCUUCAGAAUUUGGAGGCUUUCCUGUUACCAAUGGUGAACUUAAGAACUAGGCUAAAGGACUAGGCUGCAAGCAAUCCAUGUAUUAAUAUAUCACGAAGUAAUAUUGUGUGCAUGGACUUGUGUUAUAUGGAAGUUUCUCAUUUUCUGUAUAAUAACCUUGGGAGAAUGAAUGCAAUUCUGUGUCUCAGCGUCUUUGCUAUAUCAUUAUUGCCUAUAUACUAAGAUGCUAUACAUUCAUUCCUGUCUUCUGUUUAUGUAAGAUAAUUUCAU